rnacentral:rRNA from 1 species
UAGGUGGCGAGCGUUAUCCGGAAUUACUGGGUGUAAAGGGUGUGUAGGCGGGGCGGCAAGUCAGAUGUGAAAACUAUGGGUUCAACCCAUAAACUGCAUUUGAAACUGUCGUUCUUGAGAGUGGGAGAGGUAAACGGAAUUCCUGGUGUAGUAGUGAAAUGCGUAGAUAUCAGGAGGAACACCGGUGGCGAAGGCGGUUUACUGGACCACAACUGACGCUGAGACACGAAAGCGUGGGGAGCAAA